rnacentral:rRNA from 1 species
UACGGAGGGUGCAAGCGUUAUCCGGAUUCACUGGGUUUAAAGGGUGCGUAGGUGGGUUGGUAAGUCCGUGGUGAAAUCUCCGAGCUUAACUCGGAAACUGCCGUGGAUACUAUCAAUCUUGAAUACUGUGGAGGUAAGCGGAAUAUGUCAUGUAGCGGUGAAAUGCUUAGAUAUGACAUAGAACACCGAUAGCGGAGGCAGCUUGCUACACAGUCAUUGACACUGAGGCACGAAAGCGUGGGGAUCAAACAGGAGUUAGAAAACCCUGGGUAGUCC